rnacentral:rRNA from 1 species
GUGGGGAAUAUUGGACAAUGGGCGAAAGCCUGAUCCAGCCAUGCCGCGUGUGUGAAGAAGGUCUUCGGAUUGUAAAGCACUUUAAGUUGGGAGGAAGGGCAGUAAGUUAAUACCUUGCUGUUUUGACGUUACCGACAGAAUAAGCACCGGCUAACUUCGUGCCAGCAGCCGCGGUAAUACGAAGGGUGCAAGCGUUAAUCGGAAUUACUGGGCGUAAAGCGCGCGUAGGUGGUUUUGUAAGUUGGAGGUGAAAUCCCCGGGCUCAACCUGGGAACUGCCUCCAAAACUGCAUGACUAGAGUACGGUAGAGGGUAGUGGAGUUUCCUGUGUAGCGGUGAAAUGCGUAGAUAUAGGAAGGAACACCAGUGGCGAAGGCGACUACCUGGACUGAUACUGACACUGAGGUGCGAAAGCGUGGGGAGCAAACAGGAUUAGAAACCCGGGUAGUCC